UGGGGAAUAUUGCACAAUGGGCGCAAGCCUGAUGCAGCCAUGCCGCGUGUAUGAAGAAGGCCUUCGGGUUGUAAAGUACUUUCAGCGGGGAGGAAGGGAGUAAAGUUAAUACCUUUGCUCAUUGACGUUACCCGCAGAAGAAGCACCGGCUAACUCCGUGCCAGCAGCCGCGGUAAUACGGAGGGUGCAAGCGUUAAUCGGAAUUACUGGGCGUAAAGCGCACGCAGGCGGUUUGUUAAGUCAGAUGUGAAAUCCCCGGGCUCAACCUGGGAACUGCAUCUGAUACUGGCAAGCUUGAGACUCGUAGAGGGGGGUAGAAUUCCAGGUGUAGCGGUGAAAUGCGUAGAGAUCUGGAGGAAUACCGGUGGCGAAGGCGGCCCCCUGGACGAAGACUGACGCUCAGGUGCGAAAGCGUGGGGAGCAAACAGG
rnacentral:rRNA from 2 species